ACGGGGGGUGCGAGCGUUGUCCGGAAUCACUGGGCGUAAAGGGCGCGUAGGCGGCCUGUUAAGUCGAACGUGAAAUCCCUGGGCUCAACCCAGGAACUGCGUCCGAUACUGGCAGGCUUGAAUCCGGGAGAGGGAUGUGGAAUUCCAGGUGUAGCGGUGAAAUGCGUAGAUAUCAGGAAGAACACCCGUGGCGAAGGCGGCUCUCUGGGACGGUACUGACGCUGAGACGCGAAAGCGUGGGGAGCGAACAGGA
rnacentral:rRNA from 1 species